GGUUAAGCGACUAAGCGUACACGGUGGAUGCCCUGGCAGUCAGAGGCGAUGAAGGACGUGCUAAUCUGCGAAAAGCGUCGGUAAGGUGAUAUGAACCGUUAUAGCCGGCGAUGUCCGAAUGGGGAAACCCAGUGCAAUUCGUUGCACUAUCGUUAACUGAAUACAUAGGUUAACGAGGCGAACCGGGGGAACUGAAACAUCUAAGUACCCCGAGGAAAAGAAAUCAACCGAGAUUCCCCCAGUAGCGGCGAGCGAACGGGGAGCAGCCCAGAGUCUGAAUCAGCUUGUGUGUUAGUGGAACGGUCUGGAAAGUCCGACGGUACAGGGUGAUAGUCCCGUACACCAAAAUGCACAGGUUGUGAACUCGAAGAGUAGGGCGGGACACGUGGUAUCCUGUCUGAAUAUGGGGGGACCAUCCUCCAAGGCUAAAUACUCCUGACUGACCGAUAGUGAACCAGUACCGUGAGGGAAAGGCGAAAAGAACCCCGGCGAGGGGAGUGAAAAAGAACCUGAAACCGUGUACGUACAAGCAGUGGGAGCACCUUCGGGUGUGACUGCGUACCUUUUGUAUAAUGGGUCAGCGACUUAUAUUCUGUAGCAAGGUUAACCGUAUAGGGGAGCCGCAGGGAAACCGAGUCUUAACUGGGCGUUAAGUUGCAGGGUAUAGACCCGAAACCCGGUGAUCUAGCCAUGGGCAGGUUGAAGGUUGGGUAACACUAACUGGAGGACCGAACCGACUAAUGUUGAAAAAUUAGCGGAUGACUUGUGGCUGGGGGUGAAAGGCCAAUCAAACCGGGAGAUAGCUGGUUCUCCCCGAAAGCU
rnacentral:rRNA from 1 species